UGAUUUAUUCCAGUUUGGUGAAACAUCAGACACAUUCAGUAUGUUAACCGCAGAGCUCAGAGAAGAAGGAGAGCUGAAUGAGGACAGUUUCAUGUUUAUCGACCGCAACAGGCAGGAACUGGUCGGAGUGCUGAGUUCACGUUCUCCACAUGUGUGGUCUGCCGGCCCAGGGGACCUAUCCCAGAAUCCCAGACACACGUGUGCAGGCAGAAGCAGUAGUGCAAUGCAGAGUAGAUAAACAGUGCUCUUACUGGCCACUGGGCACACUCCACUUCCAAAAAAUAAUGCCAAGUUAACUACUUUGCAGAAGUAUAUAGCAAAAAGGCAAAUGGCAAAAAGUACUUUUGCUGCUCAUCUUGAUUCUUAAGAACAAGGA